rnacentral:rRNA from 1 species
AUGAGUGAUGUGUUAUCUCAUGAUAAGCUAGUUUGCAUGGUGAUCACCAUCUGGGCGAUAUGGAGAGUGAGGAGAAAGGAUGUAUAUGAGGAUAUCCAUCAAAGCCCGUUGUCAACACAUCUUUUCAUCCAGUCAUAUUGGAAUGAUCUCCAAGUUUUAAAGAAAUCGAUUGCACCCAUGUCGCAAAACAAAGUGGUGAGACCAACCCACUCGCUAGAACCGCCGGAGAAAAUGGUGAAGGCUAAUGUGGAUGUUGCCAUAGCUGGGAGUUCGGGUAUAGGGGCAGUUGCGGAAGUGUGCAGAGACAGGGAGGGAAUGUACCUGGGUUCAUCGGUCGUUGUCUUUAGGGGCAUCAGCGACCCUACCACAUUGGAGGCACUAGCAGUAAGGGAAUCAAUGGCUCUCGCAAAUGAUCUUAAUUUACAGUCUAUCCAUGUUGCAUCAGAUUGUAAGGUGGUGAUCGAGGAUAUUAAGAAGAAGAGUGGGGCGGGCUACGGUGCUAUUAUACAUGAAAUCGUAGAUGGAGCCCAAGUAGGUCAAAAAAAUAGUGGAGCACAAGAGCCCGUGACGCGAAGCCCCCAAUCCCACACGACAUAUGGGUACACAAACUACAACGCUUUCCGUGGACCCAGAGUGACCCUUGACCAAUGGGUAGCAGCUACCACUACACAUGACGCACGUUGUUGUCAAGCAUGGACCCACCCGUCAUCCAUAGGAUGUGUCAAGGCCACAGAAAAUAAAAAAUCCAACACUCCAUCGUUCACUCCCGUCUACUCGUCGUCUUCCUCGGCGCGGGCGCUCUAG